rnacentral:lncRNA from 1 species
CCAUCGGUCACGCAUUUCUUCAAAGCAUUAUACGCGGACUUCACCCACUUUGGAGCUAUCUAACUGAAAGCUCGAGGCGUGCUGAGCCUGCGCC